CACAGCCUUCCCUACCCUGCCCUCCAUACAGUUGCACAACCCCAAUGUGGCCCUCAGGCCAAAAAGUUUACCCAUCCCUGAUUUAGGACCUACUGCAUAUAUGUAAUAUAUACACAAGAGGUAGGAUUCUUUGACCUCAUCAACAACUGAGUAAGAGUUUUACAACUAUGGUUAAGCAUGGAUUAAAUGUAGUUGAGGCUUAACCUAGUUAUAAAACUAUGUUCCAGCCUAAAUCUCUCCCUGAGCUAUAACCUGGACUGUUAACUUGAUUAUAACAAGGUUUUGCUCCAUCCACAUUCAUUAACCUAGUUUGGCUGAAACAGAGUUUAAAUUGCUUAAUCACCAUUGUAAAACCAGCAUCUUUUGCCUAGAAAGACAGGACCUUGGAAACUACUUGUGAAUAUUAUAAAAGCCCGAUAGUGUAGGUCUCAGAUGCAAAGCAGUUACUCUGUGAAUCAGAUUCAGAUAUCAGACAAUUCACAGCUAGAGAGUAAGUUAAAAUCAGUUUAUACUCUGACGCAACACAGGGUGCUUAUUUUGAAAAUAUUAAUAAAUUAAACUGACCUGAUCUUCCUUGAGGAAUUUCUCAACCUCAGCGUAUCUUGUUGUAUAUUUGUGUUUAACAACAAGUUCACACCACCGAUGUCGAACCUUUGGAAAAGGAAAAUAAAUAUUAAACAUGCAUACUGUGUCGGUGUAAAUACGCACUUGAUACAAUGUCACUCAACUACAAUUUUUUAAAGUGUUUUAGAGGAAUGGCAGUUUGUGAAACAUUUUCAAGUACUUCAGUAGGCCUUGCUAAUCUUGCUUAAAAUCUACGUGCCCCUAAAUAUGGACACAAAUGAAGUUCCUAUUUUAAGGGCAGAUGCUGUUUAGAGCGUUGAGUCAUGUGCCUCUAUAAAGCAUUAGAUCAUUAAUACUCAUCUGACACACUAAAAAUAAAAUGUGCAUCUCUAGUAGGAUUUUUGGACCCCAACAUAUCUGGAAAAACAAGCACCUGUAACUCUCAAACCAAUCCCAAUCCCAGUUUAAACCCGCUGAAUCAGUGAGAGUUUGUUAUUUUCAAAAUGAUAACUAUUAUUCUACAAAACUACUUUUAAAAAGUUACACUUAGCAUUAGAAUAAAUAAAUCCUUUUUUCCUUUUCUUUUCUAGUUUUACAAAAGAGGAAAUUAUUGCUUCAAAGCUCUGGAAGCAGACAUAAGAUACAAUUGCAUUAUUUCCUUUAGGCAAGUGUCUAACCUAGGGGCAUGAGGCUAAAACACAGUUUUGUGCAAAUUGUAUCUGGGGGACAAGUGCUGCAUCUGUCCUGGGAUGAAAAGGAUCAAAGUGAUUCUGCAGUUGGAGAAUACUAUGUGCCCCACAGUUUGUCAUUAAGAAGUACAAGCAGGGAAACUACCUAGCAGUUUCAGUCAUCGUGUAGUUUGGACAAAAGACCUCGGACUCUACACAGUGCUGGUAAUUAUUAUUCUGAAUCAUAACACUCCCACUGAAGACACUUCAGGGCCAAAUACAUCUCAGCAGCAAGAUAGGCUUUAA